rnacentral:misc_RNA from 1 species
GAUGAAGAACGUAGCGAAAUGCGAUAAGUAGUGUGAAUUGCAGAAUUCAGUGAAUCAUCGAAUCUUUGAACGCACAUUGCGGCCAUAGGUAUUCCUUUGGCCAUGCCUGUUCGAGCGUCAUUUACACCCUCAAGCCUAGCUUGGUGUUGGGCGUCUGUCCCGCCGUUCUCGCGCGCGGACUCGCCUCAAAGUCAUUGGCGGCGGUCGUGCCGGCCCCCUCGCGCAGCACAUUUGCGCUUCUCGGAGGCCCGGCGGAUCCGCGCUCCAGCAAGACCUUUCACGACUUGACCUCGGAUCAGGUAGGGAAACCCGCUGAACUUAAGCAUAUCAAUAAGCGGAGGA